CCUACGGGUGGCAGCAGUGAGGAAUAUUGGUCAAUGGGCGCGAGCCUGAACCAGCCAAGUAGCGUGAAGGAUGACUGCCCUACGGGUUGUAAACUUCUUUUAUAAAGGAAUAAAGUGAGGCACGUGUGCCUUUUUGUAUGGACUUUAUGAAGAAGGAUCGGCUAACUCCGUGCCAGCAGCCGCGGUAAGACGGAGGAUCCGAGCGUUAUCCGGAUGUAUUGGGGUUAAAGGGCGCGUAGAUGGGUUGUUAAGUCAGUUGUGAACGUUUGCGGCUCAACCGGAAAAUUGCAAUUGAUACUGGCAGUCUUGAGUCCAGUUGAGGUAGGCGGAAUUCGUGGUGUAGCGGUGAAAUGCUUAGAUAUCACGAAGAACUCCGAUUGCGAAGGCAGCUUACUAAACUGCCACUGACAUUGAUGCUCGAAAGUGUGGGUAUCAAACAGGAUUAGAUACCCGGGUAGUC
rnacentral:rRNA from 1 species